rnacentral:lncRNA from 12 species
UCUCUUCUCUUCUCUUCUCUUCUCUUCUCUUCUCUUCUCUUCUCUUCUCUUCUCUUCUCUUCUCUUCUCUUCUCUUCUCUUCUCUUCUCUUCUCUUCUCUUCUCUUCUCUUCACUCUUAAAUCCACUCCAAAUGAUCCACUCAAAUCUCCUUGAUUUAUUAGAGGAAGCAACUUUUCUUAAUUAGCUGGCAACGGCUGAUGGCAAAGGGCAGUGGAUGGCCAAGGCCAACUGGAGCUGGAAUCCAAAAGGUUCCCCAUGGAAACAUUCCAAAGCCAAGCCAAACCUGAUGAUGAAAUUCCAAGGUAGCGAAGAGGAAGGAUUUGGAUCUAUUUUAAACUUGCUGCUGGCAUCCUCCCAAUUAUCUCCUUUUUUUCCCCUGUUUUCCAUUUCACUGCCGAAGAAAUGAGGAGGAAAUGAAACAAAUGAAAACCUCUGGAUUUGGGAAGGACGGAUUUGAACAGGAAUUCUUUGGAGCAAAUUAAACAGCAGAGUCCUCGUGGCUUCUUCCUAUCAGAUGUCUUUGCUGCCAUCAGGAAUGGGGCAUCCUGGACCUCCCAGUUCCCUGGUGCCCAGUCCCUGAGCUUUUGUGGCUCUUCUCCCCUUCCCCUCCUGCUGGAACUAUCCUGGAUCCAGGCAGCCCAGGGGGAAAAGGGAAAAGAGCAGCUCUAAAAGGAGCCCUGAAUGGGCAGGGAAGGGGGAUCCAUGGGGCACAUCCAGAGCCUGGGAAUGAAUCCAUCGUCAGGAGGACAAAGAAGAUCUGACCAUUGACUAUUGAUUAUUGACUAUUGACCAUUGACUAUGGACCAUUGACCAUUGACUAUUGACUAUUGACCAUUGACUACUGACCAUUGACCAUUGACUAUUGACCAUUGACCAUUGACUAUUGAUUAUUGACUAUUGACCAUUGACUAUGGACCAUUGACCAUUGACUAUUGACUAUUGACUAUUGACUAUUGACUAUUGACUAUUGACUAUUGACUACUGACUAUUGACCAUUGACUAUGGACCAUUGACCAUUGACUACUGACCAUUGACCAUUGACUAUUGACCAUUGACUACUGACCAUUGACCAUAGACUAUUGACCAUUAACUACUGACCAUUGAACUGACCAUUGACCAUUGACUAUUGACCAUUGACCAUUGACCGUUGACUAUUGACCACUGACCAUUGACCAUUGACUAUUGACCAUUGAACAUUGACCAUUGACCAUUGACUAUUGAUUAUUGACUAUUGACCAUUGACCAUUGACUACUGACCAUUGACCUUUGACCAUUGACUAUUGACCAUUGAGCAUAGACUAUUGACCAUUGACCAUAGACUAUUGACCAUUGAAUUGACUAUUGACCACUGACCAUUGACCAUUGACUAUUGACCAUUGAACAUUGACCAUUGACUAUUGACUACUGAAUAUUGAAUAUUGAAUAUCGAAUGUCAAAUAUUGAAUAUUGAAUAUUGAAUGCUGAAUAUUGAAUAUGGAAUAUUCAAUAUGAAAUAUUGAAUAUUGAAUAUUAUCUGUUUUCUAUUGAUUAUUGACUAUUGACCAUUGACCAUUGACUACUGACCAUUGACCUUUGACCAUUGACUAUUGACCAUUGAGCAUAGACUAUUGACCAUUGACCAUUGACCAUUGAAUUGACUAUUGACCACUGACCAUUGACCAUUGACUAUUGAACAUUGAAUAUUGAAUAUUGACCAUUGACUAUUGGCCACUAUUGACCACUAUUGACCACUGACUAUUGACCAUUGACUAUUGACCAUUGAUUACUGAAUAUUGAAUAUCAAACAUCGAAUAUCAAAUAUCAAAUAUUGAAUAUCGACUACUG